rnacentral:rRNA from 1 species
AUUGAACGCUGGCGGCAUGCCUUACACAUGCAAGUCGAACGGCAGCACGGGAGCUUGCUCCUGGUGGCGAGUGGCGAACGGGUGAGUAAUACAUCGGAACGUACCCUGAAGUGGGGGAUAACGUAGCGAAAGUUACGCUAAUACCGCACAUUCUGUGAGCAGGAAAGAGGGGGAUCGCAAGACCUCUUGCUUUAGGAGCGGCCGAUGUCGGAUUAGCUAGUUGGUGAGGUAAAGGCUCACCAAGGCGACGAUCCGUAGCGGGUCUGAGAGGAUGAUCCGCCACACUGGGACUGAGACACGGCCCAGACUCCUACGGGAGGCAGCAGUGGGGAAUUUUGGACAAUGGGCGCAAGCCUGAUCCAGCCAUGCCGCGCGAGUGAAGAAGGCCUCGG